GACGAACGCUGGCGGCGUGCCUAACACAUGCAAGUCGAACGGAAAGGCCCGGCGCUUGUGGGGUUCUGGAGUGGCGAACGGGGGAGAAACACGCGAGGGACCUGUGCUUUACAGUGGGAGAACAUCAGGGAACAGGGGUGAUAACCGGACAGAAGCUCCUGCAGCAUGGGGGGUGAGGGUAAGAGUCGGAGGUUGGGGAUGGACUGGCGGCUUAUCGGCUUGUUGGUGGGGUAGUGGGUUACCAGGGCAUCGAGGGGUAGCCGGCCUGAGAGGGUGACAGGCCACAUUGGGCCUGGGAUACGGCCCAGACUCCUACGGGAGGCAGCAGUGGGGAACUUUGCGCACUGGGCGGAAGCCUGAUGCAGCAACGCCGCGUGCGGGAUGACUGCCUUCGGGUUGUAACCCGCUUUCGCCUGUGACGAAGCGUGAGUGACGGUAAUGGGUAAAGAAGCACCGGCUAACUACGUG
rnacentral:rRNA from 1 species